AACGAACGCUGGCGGCGUGCCUAACACAUGCAAGUCGUACGCGAAAGGGGGCAACCCCCGGUAGCGUGGCAGACGGGUGAGUAACACGUGGGUAACCUGCCCGGAGGUGGGGGAUAACCCUUCGAAAGGAGGGCUAAUACCGCAUCACAUCCCGGGGUCUUCGGACCCUGGGACCAAAGCUGGCCUCUACUUGUAAGCUAGCGCCACCGGAGGGGCCCGCGGCCCAUUAGCCAGUUGGUGAGGUAAUGGCUCACCAAGGCUACGAUGGGUAGCCGGCCUGAGAGGGCGACCGGCCACACUGGAACUGAGACACGGUCCAGACUCCUACGGGAGGCAGCAGUGAGGAAUUUUGGACAAUGGGCGCAAGCCUGAUCCAGCAAUGCCGCGUGCAGGAAGAAGGCCUUCGGGUUGUAAACUGCUUUUGUACGGAGCGAAAAGGCUCUCUCUAAUACAGGGGGCUCAUGACGGUACCGUAAGAAUAAGCACCGGCUAACUACGUGCCAGCAGCCGCCGCAGUAA
rnacentral:rRNA from 1 species